UUUGACCUCAAAUCAGGUAGGAUUACCCGCUGAACUUAAGCA
rnacentral:rRNA from 1 species